rnacentral:rRNA from 1 species
UACGUAGGGUGCAAGCGUUGUCCGGAAUUAUUGGGCGUAAAGAGCUCGUAGGCGGUUUGUCGCGUCUGCUGUGAAAUCCCGAGGCUCAACCUCGGGUCUGCAGUGGGUACGGGCAGACUAGAGUGUGGUAGGGGAGACUGGAAUUCCUGGUGUAGCGGUGAAAUGCGCAGAUAUCAGGAGGAACACCAGUGGCGAAGGCAGGCUCGCUGG